rnacentral:rRNA from 1 species
GACGAACGCUGGCGGCGUGCCUAAUACAUGCAAGUAGAACGCUGAAGGAGGAGCUUGCUCUUCUGGAUGAGUUGCGAACGGGUGAGUAACGCGUAGGUAACCUGCCUGGUAGCGGGGGAUAACUAUUGGAAACGAUAGCUAAUACCGCAUAAUAGUAGAUGUUGCAUGAUAUUUACUUAAAAGGUGCAAUUGCACCACUACCAGAUGGACCUGCGUUGUAUUAGCUAGUUGGUGGGGUAACGGCUCACCAAGGCGACGAUACAUAGCCGACCUGAGAGGGUGAUCGGCCACACUGGGACUGAGACACGGCCCAGACUCCUACGGGAGGCAGCAGUAGGGAAUCUUCGGCAAUGGACGAAAGUCUGACCGAGCAACGCCGCGUGAGUGAAGAAGGUUUUCGGAUCGUAAAGCUCUGUUGUAAGAGAAGAACGAGUGUGAGAGUGGAGAGUUCACACUGUGACGGUAUCUUACCAGAAAGGGACGGCUAACUACGUG